UACGAAGGGGGCUAGCGUUGUUCGGAAUUACUGGGCGUAAAGCGCGCGCAGGCGGUUUUUCAAGUCAGUGGUGAAAGCCCGGGGCUCAACUCCGGAAUUGCCUUUAAGACUGCAUCGCUAGAAUUGUGGAGAGGUAAGUGGAAUUCCGAGUGUAGAGGUGAAAUUCGUAGAUAUUCGCAAGAACACCGGUGGCGAAGGCGGCCAACUGGACCAUUACUGACGCUGAGGCGCGAAAGCGUGGGGAGCAAACAGG
rnacentral:rRNA from 1 species